UAGACGUGCUUCAUCGACUUCUUGCCGAUCGCGAAGACGUUGAACCCGAGGGCGAACAGCUCGGCGUGAUUGAGGAUAUUGCGCCCAUCGAAAAUGAAGGCCGGCUGGACCAUCCCCUCGAAGAUUCGACGGUAAUCGAGCGUGCGAUAGAGGUCCCACCCCGUCAGAACCGCGAUCGCGUGGGCGCCGGCCGCCGCGCGGUAAGGAUCUUCUUCGAAUUCGACGGCGUGGCCUGUUCCGCUCAGGUCCGCUCUCGCAUUGUCCAGCGCCUUUGGAUCGGUGACGACGACGUGUGCGCGUUCGGCGAGCAAGUCACGUGUCACCGCCAGAGCCGGAGACUC
rnacentral:misc_RNA from 1 species